AUUGAACGCUGGCGGCAGGCCUAACACAUGCAAGUCGAGCGGGGUUUUCGGACCUAGCGGCGGACGGGUGAGUAAUGCGUAGGAAGCUGCCCGAUAGAGGGGGAUACCAGUUGGAAACGACUGUUAAUACCGCAUAAUGUCUACGGACCAAAGUGUGGGACCUUCGGGCCACAUGCUAUCGGAUGCGCCUACGUGGGAUUAGCUAGUUGGUGAGGUAAUGGCUCACCAAGGCGACGAUCUCUAGCUGGUUUGAGAGGAUGAUCAGCCACACUGGAACUGAGACACGGUCCAGACUCCUACGGGAGGCAGCAGUGGGGAAUAUUGGACAAUGGGCGCAAGCCUGAUCCAGCCAUGCCGCGUGUCUGAAGAAGGCCUUCGGGUUGUAAAGGACUUUUGUCCGGGAGCAAAUGCUGGUGGCUAACAUCCACCGGAGCUGAGAGUGCCGGAAGAAUAAGCACCGGCUAACUACGUGCCAGCAGCCGCCGUAACAC
rnacentral:rRNA from 1 species